GCUCAGAUACAGAAAAUGUUUGAAAGAUUGAUAUCUCUUUCUCUGUUCUGUGGGACUGGGGUGCAUGGUGGUAGAGCGAUUUGUCUGGUUAAUUCUGAUAAUGAAUGAGAAGACUCUAUCAUGCCAAAUACCGGUAGUUAUGCAGACCCCUGAGCGGUCAGCAUCCAGAAUCUUACACAGACAAGUGACAUUCAGCUUCCUGAGAUUUAGGGGUGAGGAACCUGUAAUUUAAUGGU